rnacentral:rRNA from 1 species
UACGUAGGGUCCGAGCGUUGUCCGGAGUUACUGGGCGUAAAGCGCGCGCAGGCGGCGGUGCUGGCCCGGCGUGAAAGCCCCCGGCUCAACCGGGGAGGGUCGUCGGGGACCGCACCGCUUGAGGGCGGUAGGGGCUGGUGGAAUGCCUGGUGUAGUGGUGAAAUGCGUAGAGAUCAGGCGGAACACCCGUGGCGAAGGCGGCCAGCUGGGCCGUCCCUGACGCUGAGGCGCGAAGGCGUGGGGAGCGAUCCGG